rnacentral:rRNA from 1 species
UGUGCCAAGCAGCCGCGGUAAUUCCAGCUCCAAUAGCGUAUAUUAAAGUUGUUGUGGUUAAAAAGCUCGUAGUUGGAUCUCAACAGCCUUGAAGCGGUUAACUUUGUAGUUUUACUGCUUUAUAGGCUGUGCUUUUGCUGGAGGUUUAGGGGUGCUCUUGAUCGAGUGUCUCUGGAUGCCAGCAGGUUUACUUUGAAAAAAUUAGAGUGCUCAAAGCAGGCUAAAAUGCCUGAAUAUUCGUGCAUGGAAUAAUAGAAUAGGAUGUCGAUCCUAUUUUGUUGGUUUUCGGGACUCGACAUAAUGAUAAAUAGGGACAGUCGGGGGCAUUUGUAUUCAAACGACAGAGGUGAAAUUCUUGGACCGUUUGAAGACAAACUACUGCGAAAGCAUUUGCCAAGAAUGUUUUCAUUAAUCAAGAACGAAAGUUAGAGGUUCGAAGGCGAUUAGAUACCGCCCUAGUUCUAACCAUAAACGAUGCCAGCUAGCGAUCUGCCUGCGUUUUUACUGUAGACUGGGCAGGAAGCUUCCGGGAAACCAAAGCAUUUGGGUUCCAGGGGAAGUAUGGUUGCAAAGCUGAAACUUAAAGGAAUUGACGGAAGGGCACCACCAGGAGUGGAGCCUGUGGCUUAAUUUGACUCAACACGGGAAAUCUCACCAGGCCCGGACACUGGAAGGAUUGACAGAUUGAUAGCUCUUUCUUGAUUCGGUGGGUGGUGGUGCAUGGCCGUUCUUAGUUGGUGGAGUGAUUUGUCUGGUUAAUUCCGAUAACGAACGAGACUCUGUCCUGCUAAAUAGUUUCUACUUCUCUUUUGAGUAGAAAUUUCUUCUUAGAGGGACUGGUGACUCUUAGUCACACGAGAUUGAGCAAUAACAGGUCUGUGAUG